UGAAACAGUAGUGCUCACCUUCGAUGGC
rnacentral:sRNA from 1 species